rnacentral:rRNA from 1 species
UACUCCGCCGGCGACCGGCGCACGGGUGCGUAACGCGUAUGCAACCUACCUUUAACAGGGGCAUAACACUGAGAAAUUGGUACUAAUUCCCCAUAACAUUCGAGAAGGCAUCUUCUUGGGUUAAAAACUCCGGUAGUUAAAGAUGGGCAUGCGUUGUAUUAGCUAGUUGGUGAGGUAACGGCUCACCAAGGCAACGAUACAUAGGGGGACUGAGAGGUUAACCCCCCACAUUGGUACUGAGACACGGACCAA